UUGGAGGGCAAGUCUGGUGCCAGCAGCCGCGGUAAUUCCAGCUCCAAUAGCGUAUAUUAAAGUUGUUGCAGUUAAAAAGCUCGUAGUUGAAUUUCGGGGUUCUACCGUUGGUCGGGCUUUGUCUGUACUGGUGUGUAGAAUUUCUACCUUCUGGGGAACCAUCAUGCUAUUAAUUUAGCGUGGUGGGAAACCAGGACCUUUACCUUGAAAAAAUUAGUGUGUUCAAAGCAGGCUUAUGUCUGAAUACAUUAGCGUGGAAUAAUAGAAUAGGACGGUGGUCCUGUUUUGUUGGUUUCUGAAUCACCGUAAUGAUUAAUAGGGAUAGUUGUGGGCAUUAGUAUUCAAUUGUCAGAGGUGAAAUUCUUGGAUUUAUUGAAGACUAACUUCUGCGAAAGCAUUUGCCAAGGAUGUUUUCAUUAAUCAAGAACGAAAGUUAGGGGAUCGAAGACGAUCAGAUACCGUCGUAGUCUUAACCAUAAACUAUGCCGACUAGGGAUCGGACGAUGUUAAUUAUUCUUGACUCGUUCGGCGCCUUACGGGAAAC
rnacentral:rRNA from 1 species